rnacentral:lncRNA from 1 species
UAAUUUGUAAUGUGCUGUUGUGCAUUAUUAAAUAUUACAUGAAUAGGUUCUUGCAUGACAUAAUUACUCUUUACAUCUCAGACCAAACACCACAGAUUGGGGCUGAAAAACCUCCUCUCAUCAAAGGUGAGUUUAUAUUCCUUAUAUUGCAUAUGCUUCCUCUGUGUGUACUAAAUAUGUGAUUUAACGCACAUUUCUGUCUGUUAAUGUUUAAUUGUUGGCACUUUCAGGACCAAAGUGAAGCUCAUAAGCCUACAGAGGGGCGGGUCUGUGUGUGAACCGCACACGUAUCGCCUCAUCCAAUCAGACUGCCUUCAGAAUCGCUUACCAAUCACACAGCACUUUGGCCGGUCUCGACCACGCCGGCCGACACGCAAGCAUCCCAGCCACCAGGGCAAUGAACAACAGACAGAGGAUGACAACACCAGCUAUGAGGACAGUGUAACAGAAUGUCCUGAGCAGUGCUCUGGCACCAGCGACUUACAGGAAGAGGAUGAUCUCUCUCUCUUGGCCGACCCGGAGGAGAUGGACCUGCUCGGGGAGAUCUUCGACACGCUGAGUUCCCAGAGCUCCAGAGAGCCAGGUUUACUGUACGGCACACGCAGCCUCGACCUCUUCAGCUCCGACAGCAGUGACUUCAUCUCACAUAAGAGUCUGGCCAACCCAAGUCAGGAGAGUCUAAGUCUCUCUUUUGGAAACAGCGAAAGUCUCGUGAGCUGGGAGGAGGAGCUUGAGGAGGGGCCUGCUGGCGAGGGGGAGGAGCCUGCUGGUGAAGGGGAGGAGCCUGCUGUCCUGAUUGACAGGCCGGAAAAUGAGAUUAACGAAUUAGAGAAGGAUUUGACCGAGUUAGGGGAACAUCUGUGUUCAGAUCUACAAAUUCUAGAAGAUGCUUCUCUGGAUCCUGAAGUGGGUUCUGAGGAGGAGCGAAAGGACGCCUGGCCGAACAAUGAUGGACAAAUGAAUGGAUCAGUGGAGGAAAGCUUGGAAACCGAGACAGUAGUUACAGAGAGGACAGAGAUGCAACCUGACAAAGAACUUCAGAAAGAGCUUAAGACGACAAAUGCUUUUGGCCCAAACGGACCAACAAAUGAAGGAAUUAUCUCCGCAGAUUCUCACAAUGUAAAGAUAGACAAAAAAGAAGAGCUAGAUAAGAAGAGCACUGAACCUCUAUCGCCAAACAUUUCGUCUACCGUAGCUCUGUUCCAGUCCUCAGCUGACUCUUCUGGUUCCCGAGGGUGGGAUAAAUCUCUAAAAGCUCCCAUCAGGUCCCAAAAAAUCUAUGUGGGAUCAAUGACGGGCCUGCAGACUGAAGUACAAAGUCUGAAAGAGCCUGUUUCAUCAACACCAGAAGAACAAACCCAGGCUCCCGUAAAGGUCUCGGAGCUGAAGAAGAGAUUUGAACAUUAGCUCAUCACAAACCAAGCAUACUGAAGCAAAAACUAUACUGAAAAGACUUUUUAAGAUUGUCAAUUACAAGUCUAAUGAAACAACACUUGAACCCCAUUUUGAUUCUGGUGAGGCAACAUUGCCGAGUCAAGUUCGAGUUCGGCGUUUCAUACUGAACUUUGAGAUUGUGGAAGUUUUUUUGUCUCAUGUACCUGUUGGUUAAAACUCAAUGCUGACAUCAUGUAAUAAAGUCGAUUUAAAGGCAAUGCAAGUUAUAUCGCUUGCAUUAAAGUAAAUCAGGCUGAUUUCACCUUUCAUUGUAGCUAAAUGCAUUAUGUUAUUAAAAUAAACUGAUAAAUGCACCGAUUCUGACCAAUAAAGAAAGUCCGGUACUUUUUUUAUCCAAAUGUAUUUAAUAAUUUAUAAAACAAAAUACCCUUAUCAGAGAUUACAAAGCACCAUGCUGCUAACUCAGAGCAAACACUGACACAGCCAAAACCAAAAUCUCUCGAAUGAAACUGAGGACAAGGUUGUUUACUCACAGAUGCAUUUUAAUUAAUCAUACACAGUCACUUCAUCACGUUAGGAUCAAAAAAUAUGGAUGUGUUACAGAUAUUACAGAAAUGCUAAUCUAAUACAAAACAACAUUUGUGCAGUAUAUAUAUUUUUCUCUCCAAAAAAACUAAAAAUAAACAAAAUAAAUUACCUGCACCAUAACAUUCACAUUUAAGUCAUUUAAAGUAUUCAGUAUUACAAUGGUAAACUAUUUUGGAGGUAAAGCUGCCAUGUGGCUCCUUCAUAAAGACUCUCAGGUGAGUAAACAAAGUACAGGUGAAGUCAAACUUUGGCUCUCCUUGUAAACCAUUCUGGCUUCUAUUUUAUUUUUGAUGAAUGCACUUCCUAUUGUCUUCAGUUAUCCCAAGUGUGAUCCCAAGUGUGAUAGCAAAACCUCUUCAUGCAUACUUGAAUGGAUUUGUCAGCAUUAGCAGUGCAUUGUGAAGUGAAAGCAUUCUCGCCAUUCUUUCAAAAAUGUCAGAUGAAUACCCACCACCACUUCAUAGGUUCUCCAUCCAUGAUCCUUCACUUGGUUGUCAGGACUGCACACGUGUGUGGACUCCACAUAAAUAUCAAUAUUAAGUUACAAUGAAAGUUCUGUGGUGGGCUUUCAGCAUCGUUCAGAUCAGUCUCUCCUCUUUGGGCAGCGGGAGAGCGAGCCCGGGUCUCUCGGCUCUGUGGUUCCUGGCCUGUUUGCGUUCCUCCGCACCGGGCUGGUAUGAUCGCUCCAUCUUCUGCCUCUUACGGAGGACGCACGAGAACAGAACCAAGACCAGAGCCAGCAGGAACAACACCGGCAUGAACAGGGCCGACGCGCUCUCCAAACUCAUGAUGCUCCACACAGGCACAUGUGAACACAAACACACACUGAGAAUAUCUGUGUGACUGUCCGUUCAAGAAGACACAAGAUGUGAGUAUCCGCAUGUGUGUGUGUGUGUGAGCAAAGUACCUGGUUAAUUGUGACUACACAGUGGUCACGCUUUUACAUUUUGGAAGGGAACUUUAACCUAGUGGAGGAGGAAGAUAAAAGCAAGAGGUAAAUUCCUAGAGUUCACAAACACAUUCUCAGAUGAGAAGAUCAUUUCAAAAGAGUCUACUGUUCGGCUGUGGACUGACGGGGUUAAUUAUUAGUCUCGAAGAACACUAACAUACAACUAACUACAAGGACAUCCACAAAAAAACACAUAACACACAGCUGAACUCACUGUGAAGCCGUACCAAAGCUGUAUGGCUUUCAGUAAAUGAACUAAACUGGUGUCCUUAACUAAUUUUGACUCUGAAAGACCUGUAAAUACAGCACAUGAUGCUAUUUACUAAUGGUGUUUUUCUGAAAACGUCAGUGUUUAUUCAUUUUAACAAGUACAAUUCUUCAAAACAAGUCACACAGACAGAAUUUACUUUUUGGGGGGGUAAACACACACACACACACACACACACACAAAGAAGCAUAAAUGCAGCAUAAGAAAAUGUUGGUCCCUAUCAGGAUGGUGAUGUUUAUAUAUUUUUAAUAAAUUAUAGUCAAACAGUAAGUGUUAAACUAUAAGCUAUAUAUUGUUUUUCUUUCUUUCACAUUUCAGGAGUAAAAAAAGUCAACAAGACUAACAAACUAUUAAAUUACAACAACAACUGACGUAUAUAAAUUACAUAAUGACCACAAGUGGUGUUUUCAGAGCUUAACCAGCUUUCUAAAGUGAGUCCUGGUGAAUUCAUACACAAACAAGAUUUAAUUUACAAAACUAUAUCCAACAUGUCUCCUGAGAUUUACAACGAACUAUUUAAGAUCCUAAGAAACAAAGGUUAAUUUAGACAUACCUCACAUUACAUCCCUCAAGCACGAUAAUACCAGGGUAUUCUUCAAUACACUGCCGAACUAUACACCUAGUUGCUUUAUAUGGAACUUUCGUUACUGAUGAUCAAUUCUUCACAGAUUAUUUAAAUUCCGAGUUUGGAAGUCAUGUACUAAGCAAGCAGCGGCUGGGUUGGAGUGAGGUGAGCUUUAUCAGAUGAGUCAGUCAGUCAGUCAGUCACGGAAUGCCGGUGGAGAAGCCGGUUUGACGAGCUGCUUUCAAAACACGAACAACCACCUGACUGAAAGAGAAACUCAGCUUACCUGAGAAACUGAUGUGUUUCCCGCGGAGGAACUGUUAUUGUGAUUAUUUUUCAGUCUCAAAAGAUCAAGACCGGAGCGUCCAAGCGAAGAGCGCGAGGCAGUCGCUUUUCUUUUCAUCCACGCGCUCAUGACAGCUGCUCUCUCACCUGCGUCCGGAAGCGCGUCAACUCGCUCUAC